rnacentral:rRNA from 1 species
UUAAGCAUAUCAAUAAGCGGAGGAAAAGAAACCAACAGGGAUUACCUCAGUAACGGCGAGUGAAGCGGUAAGAGCUCAAAUUUGAAAGCUGGCUCCUUCGGGGUCCGCAUUGUAAUUUGCAGAGGAUGCUUCGGGAGCGGUCCCCAUCUAAGUGCCCUGGAACGGGACGUCAUAGAGGGUGAGAAUCCCGUAUGGGAUGGGGUGUCCGCGCCCGUGUGAAGCUCCUUCGACGAGUCGAGUUGUUUGGGAAUGCAGCUCUAAAUGGGUGGUAAAUUUCAUCUAAAGCUAAAUAUUGGCCGGAGACCGAUAGCGCACAAGUAGAGUGAUCGAAAGAUGAAAAGCACUUUGAAAAGAGAGUUAAAAAGCACGUGAAAUUGUUGAAAGGGAAGCGCUUGCGACCAGACUCGCUCGCGGGGUUCAGCCGGCAUUCGUGCCGGUGUACUUCCCCGCGAGCGGGCCAACGUCGGUUUGGGCGGUCAGUCAAAGGCCCCUGGAAGGUAACGCCCCCUCGGGGGCGUCUUAUAGCCAGGGGUGCAAUGUGGCCUGCCUGGACCGAGGAACGCGCUUCGGCUCGGACGU